AAGGUGUGGCCGUAUUAGC
rnacentral:piRNA from 1 species